UACGUAGGUGGCAAGCGUUGUCCGGAAUUAUUGGGCGUAAAGCGCGCGCAGGCGGUUCUUUAAGUCUGGUGGGAAAGCCCACGGCUCAACCGUGGAGGGUCAUUGGAAACUGGGGGACUUGAGUACAGAAGAGAAGAGUGGAAUUCCACGUGUAGCGGUGAAAUGCGUAGAGAUGUGGAGGAACACCAGUGGCGAAGGCGACUCUUUGGUCUGUAACUGACGCUGAGGCGCGAAAGCGUGGGGAGCAAACAGG
rnacentral:rRNA from 1 species